UCUCUGUUAGUAUAUCGGUUAGUACACGCGCCUGUCAUACAGUGCAUGCACAUGACGUGCGCGCGAAAGCGGGGUUCGACUCCCCGACAGAGAG